AUUGAACGCUGGCGGCAUGCUUUACACAUGCAAGUCGAACGGCAGCGCGGGCUUCGGCCUGGCGGCGAGUGGCGAACGGGUGAGUAAUACAUCGGAACGUGCCCAGUAGUGGGGGAUAGCUCGGCGAAAGCCGGAUUAAUACCGCAUACGACCUGAGGGUGAAAGCGGGGGAUCUUCGGACCUCGCGCUAUUGGAGCGGCCGAUGGCAGAUUAGCUAGUUGGUGGGGUAAAGGCCUACCAAGGCGACGAUCUGUAGCUGGUCUGAGAGGACGACCAGCCACACUGGGACUGAGACACGGCCCAGACUCCUACGGGAGGCAGAAGUGGGGAAUUUUGGACAAUGGGCGAAAGCCUGAUCCAGCAAUGCCGCGUGUGUGAUGAAGGCCUUCGGGUUGUAAAGCACUUUUGGCGGGAACGAAAAGGACUGUGCCAAUACCACGGUUCGAUGACGGUACCCGCAGAAUAAGCACCGGCUAACUACGUG
rnacentral:rRNA from 1 species